AACGCCGGGACCACGCCCUGAGCCGAAGGCAGACGCACCAAGAGACACUCCGGGGCUAUGGGAAAGUCCUACUUAUAACCGUGUCCCUCUGAAGACCUGGCACAUAACGGGGUGCCUCACACAGAGACCGGGCUUCUCCAUCUUCGUCCACCAAACUAAACAGCUGAUGAAAUUCAAAUGGUGUUAAACGACUAUGUGCUUAGUUAUUGAAUAAAAGAAUGG